rnacentral:rRNA from 1 species
CAUAAUCGAGUUAUAAAUAAAUUUUUAUUACCGGAAAGUAUUUGAUUUUAUUGUUGGUUGGGGAAGCGUCCUUUAUUGGGCCGGGUAGGUCCGUUAUAAACUAUUUUUACGUUGUGAUAAAUUAUUCGGUUGUACUUAUAUCUGUUAAAUAGCUUUUUUACUGUCUUACCAUUAAGGCUAUGAUGUCUUAAUAGUUAAAAUAUCUUUUUUAAGUUGUAUAGAGGAAAGGGUUAAAAUUACCCACUGCUUGUAAUUGUGUUAUAACUUUGAUUAUUGCUCUGAGAUAGAUUUUAUUCAUCUGCUAUUGUAAUCUAAUUUGUGGCUUUUAUUUAUGAUUAUAUAAGUAAUAUUAAUAUAGAUUAUGUUUCUCGUAAGCUGCCUGUCUGUUUAUUAAAAACAUUUCCACUUUGAAUUUUAUGUGGUAGUGCCUGCUCUAUGCUGUAGUAAAUGGCCGCAGUAUUUUGACUGUGCGAAGGUAGCAUAAUUAAUUGCCCUAUAAUUGAGGGCUUGUUUGAAUGGCUUGACAAGGUAGUGUUUAACAUGUUUUAUAUUUUUGAAUUUAAUAAUGGGGGCACAGAAUCCCCUUAGGUUAAUUAGACGGAAAGACCCCGGGAUCUUUAGUUUUUGUCUGGGGCAGAUUAUUAUAUUUCAUUAAUAAGUUAGACCCUAAUGGUGCAUUGGUUAAGUUACCCCGGGGAUAACAGUGUGAUUGUUUAUUAGAGAUCUUAUCGAAUAAACUGUUUGCCACCUCGAUGUUGACUUAGGUUUAGGCUCAGGCGCAGUAGUUUGAGUUUAUGGUCUGUUCGACCUUAUAUUACCUCCAUGAGUUGAGUUAAGACCGGCGUGA